rnacentral:rRNA from 1 species
GACGGAGGGUGCUAGCGUUGUUCGGAAUCACUGGGCGUAAAGGGCGCGCAGGCGGCCUCAUCAGUCGGGUGUGAAAGCCCGGGGCUCAACCCCGGAACGGCACCCGAGACGGUGGGGCUGGAGACCGGGAGAGGAGGGUGGAACUGCGAGUAUAGAGGUGAAAUUCGUAGAUAUUCGCAAGAACACCAGUGGCGAAGGCGGCUCACUGGCCCGGUACUGACGCUGAGGUGCGAAAGCGUGGGGAGCAAACAGG